UACGUAGGUGGCAAGCGUUGUCCGGAAUUAUUGGGCGUAAAGCGCGCGCAGGUGGUUUCUUAAGUCUGAUGUGAAAGCCCACGGCUCAACCGUGGAGGGUCAUUGGAAACUGGGAGACUUGAGUGCAGAAGAGGAAAGUGGAAUUCCAUGUGUAGCGGUGAAAUGCGUAGAGAUAUGGAGGAACACCAGUGGCGAAGGCGGCUUUCUGGUCUGUAACUGACGCUGAGGCGCGAAAGCGUGGGGAGCAAACAGG
rnacentral:rRNA from 1 species